UUGUGUGUGAGGAGCAAGUGAUAAACAGAAAGCGUUUGGGGUGGAAACACGGCAACACUCCCAAACGCUUUUUGUA
rnacentral:sRNA from 1 species